rnacentral:rRNA from 1 species
AUUGAACGCUGGCGGCAGGCUUAACACAUGCAAGUCGAGCGGGGUGAUGGUGCUUGCACUAUCACUUAGCGGCGGACGGGUGAGUAAUGCUUAGGAAUCUGCCUAUUAGUGGGGGACAACAUCUCGAAAGGGAUGCUAAUACCGCAUACGUCCUACGGGAGAAAGCAGGGGAUCACUUGUGACCUUGCGCUAAUAGAUGAGACUAAGUCGGGUUAGCUAGUUGGUGGGGUAAAGGCCUACCAAGGCGACGAUCUGUAGCGGGUCUGAGAGGAUGAUCCGCCACACUGGGACUGAGACACGGCCCAGACUCCUACGGGAGGCAGCAGUGGGGAAUAUUGGACAAUGGGGGGAACCCUGAUCCAGCCAUGCCGCGUGUGUGAAGAAGGCCUUAUGGUUGUAAAGCACUUUAAGCGAGGAGGAGGCUCUUUUGGUUAAUACCCAAGAUGAGUGGACGUUACUCGCAGAAUAAGCACCGGCUAACUCUGUGCCAGCAGCCGCCGUAA